AACGUAGGGGACAAGCGUUAUCCGGAUUUACUGGGCGGAAAGCGCACGUAGGCGGUGGGGCAAGUUGGACGUGAAAGCUCCCGGCUUAACUGGGAGAGGUCGUACAAAACUGCCUGGCUUGAGGCUGAGAGAGGAGAGCGGAAUUCCCGGUGUAGUGGUGGAAUGCGUAGAUAUCGGGAGGAACACCAGUGGCGAAGGCGGCUCUCUGGCUCAGAACUGACGCUGAGGUGCGAAUGCGUGGGGAGCGAACGGG
rnacentral:rRNA from 1 species